GAGGAGUUUAAAGCCAUUGACCGGUGCAACGCGGCUCAGGUUAAUAUAACUCCCUCAAGAGUUAACAUUUUGGCGUGUCAAUUAAUCAGUAGAAACCGAUCAACGGGAUACGCUGUACAGUACUUUCUGUUGCUAUCACCUUGUUGUGCAGGAAAACAGCGGGGGCAAGGGACUCACCUGGUAAAGUUUAACCUGGUGUGUGAAAGCAAAGGUGUGAGUGAGGCAUCACAGUUCAUCUACAUGACCGGCCUUCUAAUAGGGUCCCUGGUGUUUGGUCCAAUGGCACACAGGUAAAACACACAAUCCACUUAUAAAUUAUCACAAGUUUAGUGAAGAGGUCACCCCAAAAAUGUGAAAUACCCCUGCAGGUUUGGUUGUCGCUUCGCCAUCCUCGUUUCCCUGCCUAUCCAGUUGCUGUUUGGAGUUGCCUGCUGCCUUCUCCCCCGACAUCUAUGUCUACAUUGGCCUUCGGUUCGUGGUCGGCAUGACAAUAUCAGACAAUGUGUUAAGGUUUUCUUCCGGUGAAAGAGAGGAGGACCAAAAUGCAGCGUGGUUAUUUGUAUACAUCUUUAAUAACGAUACAAUACAAAACAAUUAACGUAAAGUGACAAAACCUAAACAGCCCUAUCUGGUGCAAACAAACCCAGAGACAGGAACAAUCACCCACGAAACACUCAUACCAGUCAUCCAACAGACUUCCAUUCAGAGCGACACACAGAAAGAAGCAUCCAGGGUUGAUGCCCUGCUCAAGGGCACGUUGACAGAUCUCCCACCAGGCCAAACCCGAACCCGUUUGCUAUAGCAGCCUCCUUCACUAUUGUCUAUACUGCUGAACUCUAUCCCACCAUUGUACGGUUAGUUAAAUUCCCAAUGUAUACUGUUUAUUACAGCAGAAUAAUAUCCUCAUUCUUCAUACUGUUUAUUACAGCAGAAUAAUAUCCUCAUUCUUCAUACUGUUUUACAGCAGAAUAAUAUCCUCAUUCUUCAUACUGUUUAUUACAGCAGAAUAAUAUCCUCAUUCUUCAUACUGUUUAUUACAGCAGAAUAAUAUCCUCAUUCUUCAUACUGUUUAUUACAGCAGAAUAAUAUCCUCAUUCUUCAUACUGUUUAUUACAGCAGAAUAAUAUCCUCAUUCUUCAUACUGUUUAUUACAGCAGAAUAAUAUCCUCAUUCUUCAUACUGUUUAUUACAGCAGAAUAAUAUCCUCAUUCUUCAUACUGUUUAUUACAGCAGAAUAAUAUCCUCAUUCUUCAUACUGUUUAUUACAGCAGAAUAAUAUCCUCAUUCUUCAUACUGUUUAUUACAGCAGAAUAAUAUCCUCAUUCUUCAUACUGUGUGUGUCAAAUUUUCUCCUCGUCCACUUUUGGAUACAUUUAUUGCCAUGUCCUUCUUCAUGUUCACUCCAUCUGUGACUUUGGGG
rnacentral:lncRNA from 13 species